rnacentral:rRNA from 2 species
UGAGGAAUCUUGCGCAAUGGGGGCAACCCUGACGCAGCAACGCCGCGUGAGUGAGGAAGGCCUUCGGGUCGUAAAGCUCUGUCGGAUGGAAAGAAACGGAUGCGGGUUAAUAGCCUUCAUCCCUGACGGUACCAUCAGAGGAAGCACCGGCUAACUCCGUGCCAGCAGCCGCGGUAAUACGGGGGGUGCAAGCGUUGUUCGGAAUCAUUGGGCGUAAAGCGCGUGUAGGCGGCUUGGUAAGUCAGGUGUGAAAGCCCUGGGCUCAACCCAGGAAGUGCACUUGAUACUGCCUUGCUUGAGUACGGGAGAGGAAAGCGGAAUUCCUGGUGUAGAGGUGAAAUUCGUAGAUAUCAGGAGGAACACCGGUGGCGAAGGCGGCUUUCUGGCCCAAUACUGACGCUGAGACGCGAAAGCGUGGGGAGCAAACAGG